AGAAUCCCUCCCUUACCACCUUUGCUCUUUGAACAUCUCAUUUUGCCAGUCCCCACUCCCACUUUGCCCCAUCUUGCUCCAAGGCUGGCAAACUUUGCUGGAGAAAACCACAAAAGUACUGAUGGAGCUGUCUGCCACUUGUGUCUGUCUUGGCCUGGACCUCAGUGGCAUUAGUCAUCUGUAUGAGAAGUUUGAAGAGGCUUGAUUGGUUCUCAAACACUGAAAACGUUUGCUGACCCCUGACCUAGAAGCUGUGAGGGCUGGUGGAGGAAAUCUUGUGAAGGGCAAGUAUCAUUUUGUAAAGCUCUGCCUCAGAGUGAAGAACAAUUCCUGGAGUGACCCUGACACCAGUGGGAAGCAAACAGGAAGAAGCAAAUCCCUUCUUCCUCCUCCAGCCUCCAGUGUCCCUCCAGCAUCCUCAGGGCCUCCUAGAGCCUAACAGGGAGCAGCUGCAGAGUGGAAAUAUGUGGUGUUCAGAGUCUUAGCUCCAACACCACAUAGUAGGGGUUACCAGGCUGAGCUGCAGUUGCUUAAUCAGCAGCACACGUCCCAGUUAUUCACAGGAGAAGAGAGUCUUCAUAACUGUGAUGCUAAAGCAUGCCAGGAGGAUAUUAUCACCCACUCACCACUAAGAACCAGCUCCUUGUUGCCACCUGAGCAGGAAAUGAUCCAAGACUGAGGAUCUGCUGCCUGGACCCCUUCUAAUACCAACUGUCUUAAUGUGGGUUCCCAGAAGCCAACCCUGAGGCAAGGAUUUGAGUGAAGUGGUUUAUUUGGGAGGUAGAGGGACAAAUAAAGUGUGUGUUGCCAGCCAG
rnacentral:lncRNA from 1 species